GAUGAACGCUGGCGGCGUGCUUAACACAUGCAAGUCGAACGGUAACGCCGGGCUUUGUCGCUGGAGGCGAGUGGCGAACGGGUGAGUAACACGUGGGAACCUCCCCUGUCGCUGGGGGAAGCCCUGAGAAAGCCGGAUUAAUUCCGAGAUAGGAUUUCGCGCCAUAGGGUGGGGCUUGGAAGGUUUUGGGGGUUGGGAUGGGCGGGGGGUCUAUCGGCUUUGUGGGGGGGGAAGGGCACACCAAGGGACGGGCCGGUUGCCGGCCGGGGAGGGGGGCCGGACACAAUGGGACUGAGAGAAGGCCCAGACUAGUACGGGAGGCAGCAGUGGAGAGUAUUAUACAGUGGGCGGGAGCCUGAUGCGGCAACGCCGCGUGCGGGAUGACGGCCUUCGGGUAGUAAACCGCUUUUCGCUGAGACGAAGCGAGAGUGACGGUACCGGGAGAAUAAGCGCCGGCUAACUACGUG
rnacentral:rRNA from 1 species